AGUAGCAAUAACACCAUUAAAAUUGUUCUGGUAACAUUAAUUGUAGUCAUGAUUGCAAGGUAUAGUAUAUGUUUCUCUCAUUUUUCCCUCACAGUUCUGUUUAUCCUCCCCACCUGAGAGUUGAGGAGACACACCUGGGAGGUUUGCCAGCUGUGAACUACAGUGUCCAGAUGCCAUGCAUCCAUCUCCCAGCUCCUGGGACUGUGAGUGGACACAGUUCUCAUCAUGCUGGGCAGCUUGGCAAGAGCUCGUUCAGCAAACAGAAAAACAGCAUAGAAGAGACAUCAAGUUUUAACUCCAUAAAAGGAUCAGUGCCAUAAAGUUCUUUAAAA
rnacentral:lncRNA from 1 species